UACGUAGGUGGCAAGCGUUGUCCGGAUUUACUGGGCGUAAAGAGCGCGCAGGCGGUCGUUCAAGUCGCGUGUGAAAGCCCCCGGCUCAACUGGGGAGGGUCACGCGAUACUGAUCGACUCGAAGGCAGGAGAGGGUAGUGGAAUUCCCGGUGUAGUGGUGAAAUGCGUAGAUAUCGGGAGGAACACCAGUGGCGAAGGCGGCGUCCUGGACCAAUACUGACGCUGAGGAGCGAAAGCGUGGGGAGCGAACAGG
rnacentral:rRNA from 1 species